rnacentral:rRNA from 1 species
AUUGCAUAUCAAUAAGCGGAGGAAAAGAAACUAACAAGGAUUCCCCUAGUAACGGCGAGUGAAGCGGGAAGAGCUCAAAUUUGAAAUCUGGCAGUCUUCGAUUGUCCGAGUUGUAAUCUAUAGAGGCGUUUUCCGUGCCGGACCGUGUCCAAGUCUCCUGGAAAGGAGUAUCAAAGAGGGUGAUAAUCCCGUACUUAACACGACCACCGGUGCUCUGUGAUACGUCUUCUACGAGUCGAGUUGUUUGGGAAUGCAGCUCAAAAUGGGUGGUGAAUUCCAUCUAAAGCUAAAUAUUGGCGAGAGACCGAUAGCGAACAAGUACCGUGAGGGAAAGAUGAAAAGCACUUUGGAAAGAGAGUUAAACAGUACGUGAAAUUGUUGAAAGGGAAACGAUUGAAGUCAGUCGUGUUCUUUGGAUUCAGCCAGUUCUGCUGGUCUACUUCCUUGGAACGGGUCAACAUCAGUUUUGUCCGGUGGAUAAAGGUAGUAGGAAUGUGACUUCUCCGGAAGUGUUAUAGCCUAUUAUCACAUACACUGGGUGAGACUGAGGACUGCAGCUCGCCUUUAUGGCCGGCCUUCGGGCACGUUCGAGCUUAGGAUGUUGACAUAAUGGCUUUAAACGACCCGUCUUGAAACACGGACCAAU